ACCACAUUCAAGAGUAGGCUUAAGACAUUCCUCUUUGAUAAAGCUUAUAGUUAGGGCUGGAUCAGGUGAGUCCUGAACCAUCCCUUAGUUAUGCUGCUAUAGGCCUAGACUAUCGGGGGAUUUCCCAUGGUGCACUGAGCUACUCUCUUCCUCUCUCUUUCUGCACUCAUUCAUGUCCCUUUAAUGCAUGUUACUAACUCCACUUCUUCCCCGGAGUUCUUGUGCUUUCCGUCUCGCAGGUUCUCAUGGAUCCUGGUGGAGCCUCCUGCCAUGGUCCUGCUUGACUGCCAUUGCCAAUACUGUUGUUGCUGUGCACCUGUCUGUCUGUCUGUCGCUCUCUCUCUCUCUCUCUCUCUCUCUCUCUCUCUCUCUCUCACCCCAACUGGUCGAGACAGACGACCACCCACCUAGAGCCGGAGGAUCUGUCCUAGGUUUCUGCCUUUUAACAGGCAGUUUUCCUUGCCCUUGUCGCCAAGUGCUUGCUCAUGGUGGUACUGUUGGGUCUCUGUAAUUAAUGUUAAAGAGUUCGGUCUAGACCUGCUCUAUUUGAAAAGUGUCCUGAGAUAACUUCUGUUAUGAAUUGGCGCUAUACAAAUAAAAUUGAAUUGAAUUGAA